CUGAAUGGAUCUUCAUCACAAGAUUAGCUAUCCUGAAUAGAUUUCACAGUAAGGAUUGACACAGUUAAAUAAGCUGAAUGAAUGCAUCAAUGCUCCACCAAAAAGUUGUACACUGUAAUUAGUGGUGAUUUCCAGAAAGUUCCCUGGAGCAGGAUCAUUUGUAAAUACACGCGGGCAGCUGAAUGGAUCUUCAUCACAAGAAUAGCUAUUUUGAAUAGAUUGCACAGUAAUGAUGGACAUAGUGCAAGAAGUUGAAUGAAUGCAUUGUAAUGAGGGCUGAUUUUGAAAAAGUUCCUUGGAGCAAUAUCAUUUGUAACUACACGCGGACAGUUGAAUAGAUCUUUAUCACAAGAUUAGCUAUCCUGAAUAGAUUGCACAGUAAGGAUGGACACAGUGCAUGAAGCUGAAUGAAUGCAUUAGUGCUCCACCAAAAAGCUGUACAUUGUAAUGAGGGCUGAUUUCCAGAAAGUUCCUUGGAGCAGUAUCAUUUGUAACUACACGCGGGAAGCUGAAUGGAUCUUCAUCAAAGAUUAGCUAUCCUGAAUAGAUUACAUAGUAAUGAUGGACACAGUGCAAGAAGCUGAAUGAAUGUAUCAACGCUCCACCAAAAAGCUGUACAUUGUAAUGAGGGGUGAUUUCCAGAAAGUUCCUUUGAGUAGGAUCAUUUGUAAAUACACGCGGGCAGCUGAAUAUAUCUUCAUCACAAGAUUAGCUAUCCUGAAAAGAUUGCACAGUUAGGAUGGACACAGUGAAAGAAGCUGAGUGAAUACAUCAAUACUCCAUCAAAAAGCUGUACAUUAUAAUGAGGGGUGAUUUCCAGAAAGGUCCUUGGAGAAGGAUCAUUUGUAAAUACACGCGGGCAGCUGAAUGGAUCUUCAUCACGAGAUUAGCUAUCUUGAAUAGAUUGCAAAGUAAAGAUGGACACAGUGCAAGAAGCUGAAUGAAUGCAUCAAUACUCCAUCAAAAAGCUGUACAUUGUAAUGAGGGCUGAUUUCCAGAAAGUUCCUUGGAGCAGUAUCAUUUGAAACUACGCGCGGAUAGCUGAAUGGAUCUUCAUCACAAGAUUAGCUAUCUUGAAUAGAUUGCACAGUAAGGAUGGACACAGUGCAAGAAGAUGAAUGAAUGCAUCAAUGCUCCACCAAAAAGCUGUAUAUUGUAAUGAGGGGUGAUUUCCAGAAAGUUCCUUGGAGCAGGAUCAUUUGUAAAUACACGCGGGCAGCUGAAUGGAUCUUCAUCACAAGAUUAGCUAUCUUGAAUAAAUUGCACAGUAAGGAUGGACACAGUGCAAGAAGCUGAAUGAAUGCAUCAAUACUCCAUCAAAAAGCUGUACAUUGUAAUGACGGCUGAUUUCUAGAAAGUUCCUAGGAGCAGUAUCAUUUGUAACUACACGCGGACAGCUGAGUGGAUCUUCAUCACAAGAUUAGCGAUCCUGAAUAGAUUGCACAGUAAGGACGUACACAGUGCAAGAAGCUGAAUGAAUGCAUCAAUGCUCCAUCAAAAAGCUGUACAUUGUAAUGAGGGGUGAUUUCCACAAAGUUCCUUGGAGCAGGAUCAUUUGUAACUAUACGAGGGCAACUGAAUGGAUCUUCAUCUCAAAAUCUGCUAUCCUGAAUAGAUUGCACAGUAAGGAUGGGCUAAUGAAGCAGGGCAUCACAGAUAACCAACUGCGGUCCUAUGCGGUGGAGGCAUUGAAUCUAGUGAACAUCUCUUCUUUAUUUGCGAUUACUUGAAACUCAAUAUGGACAGAACUCUUAAAUUGGCAAGGUGUCACAGAGUAGCUACAACAUGGCAAGAGGAGCUGGACUGGGCCAACGAAAUGCACGAUGGAAAGGACCAGCAACAACUAUAUUCAGAAUGAGCAUUGCAACUGUAGUUUACAACGUUUGGAUAGAGAGGAAUCAGAGGAAAUUCCAAGCCAAGUCCAUUGAUCCACGCGUGAUAACCAGAAGAGUAGUGUAGGAGAUCUUUCAGAGGGUCUUUGAAGCCUCAGCACAAUAACAAAUUAGUAGAUGUCAACUACUAUCCUUAGUGGUAUUUUGUUUUUCCAAUCAUUAUUGCCUUUAACGUUAUGGUUAAUAGUUGGCUAACUGAUUGGUUGCUAUGCCAAUGCAGUUUGGAUUUGUACGGAACGUUAGCACUUUUUGAAAAAGAAAAGUAGCUUAUCUUAGGAAGAAGAAAAAAUCAAUGAUUCUACAGAACAGAGAGAUCAUAUCUGCAGUUAAAUCUUCCUAUGAUAAUUAGCAAAAAUGAAAUUUUACUAGAAUAAACUGGAGAACCAACUACCAUUUAUUUUUAGUACCGUCUUUGCAUCCAGUUGACCACCUGUACACCUUUCAUCCUAGAUUCCUUCCGUGUAUGAUUAUCACUCUCUUCUGUGUCUCCAUGGGACCUGAUGAAUUUCCAGAAUAAUUUGAUGAUAUUUCUAUAAAAUGUUGACAUGAAGGUUGAGCUGCGUCAGCAAGAGGAUUAAGAGAAGUCCUGGAAUCACUAAGCUCUUUUUCACUUUCCUCAUCCAUUUGAAUCUUGCCAGCACUGACUAUAUGCCGACAAGCAUAUCACGACAUAAAAGACUUGGAAGUGUUCGCCAUUCCUAUUGAGUGUUGUUAUAGCCAUCCACUAUAUUUAUCUUCGAUAUAAAGAAUAUUUGUCCUGAAGUACACCUAGACAAUACAUCACACAUACGUGUAUAACUGAUAGAGAA
rnacentral:lncRNA from 1 species